UACGGAAGGGGCAAGCGUUGUUCGGAAUCAUUGGGCGUAAAGGGCGCGUAGGUGGUUCUGUAUGUCUACCGUGAAAGCGUACGGCUCAACUGUAUUUUGUCGGUGGAAACUGCAGGACUUGAGGCUGGGAGGGGCUGGUGGAAUUCCCUGUGUAGCGGUGAAAUUCGUAGAGAUUGGGUGGAACACCAGUGGCGAAGGCGCCUGCCUGGCUGAUUACUGACGCUGAGACUCGAAAGCAUGGGGAGCAAACAGG
rnacentral:rRNA from 1 species